rnacentral:rRNA from 1 species
GAUGAACGCUGGCUACAGGCUUAACACAUGCAAGUCGAGGGGAAACGACGGGGAAGCUUGCUUCCUCGGGCGUCGACCGGCGCACGGGUGAGUAACGCGUAUCCAACCUGCCUCUGACUGAGGGAUAACCCGUCGAAAGUCGGCCUAAUACCUCAUGGCAUCGUCUGCGGGCAUCCAACGACGAUUAAAGAUUUCAUCGGUCAGGGAUGGGGAUGCGUCUGAUUAGCUGGUUGGCGGGGUAACGGCCCACCAAGGCGACGAUCAGUAGGGGUUCUGAGAGGAAGGUCCCCCACAUUGGAACUGAGACACGGUCCAAACUCCUACGGGAGGCAGCAGUGAGGAAUAUUGGUCAAUGGGCGAGAGCCUGAACCAGCCAAGUAGCGUGCAGGAUGACGGCCCUAUGGGUUGUAAACUGCUUUUAUGCGGGGAUAAAGUGAGGGACGUGUCCUUCAUUGCAGGUACCGCAUGAAUAAGGACCGGCUAAUUCCGUGCCAGCAGCCGCGGUAAUACGGAAGGUCCGGGCGUUAUCCGGAUUUAUUGGGUUUAAAGGGAGCGUAGGCCGUGGAUUAAGCGUGUUGUGAAAUGCAGGUGCUCAACGUCUGCACUGCAGCGCGAACUGGUCCACUUGAGUGUGCACAACGCAGGCGGAAUUCGUCGUGUAGCGGUGAAAUGCUUAGAUAUGACGAAGAACUCCGAUUGCGAAGGCAGCUUGCGGGAGCACAACUGACGCUGAAGCUCGAAAGUGCGGGUAUCGAACAGG